rnacentral:lncRNA from 1 species
UCAUGUAUAUGCCACCACCAUAUGCUAAACUUCUACACUGGAAGUUAGCAAUCAUAUCAUUUCAUCCAUCCACAAAAUAAAGCUUCAAGUUUGUCUAUGACCUCUCUCUCCAAAGUAUCCUUGCAAAAGAGACUUGAGCUAUGCAAAAAGAAAAUAAAGUACAUCCUCAUGAAAGCACGAUGAAAAAAAAGAGAGAAAAGAUAGCCCACGUCUCCAAAGAAAGAAAGCAAGGAGAGUGGAAAACAAGGAGAGAGAAGGAUCAUACAAAAAGGAGUCCAUACACCAUCCACCAUAUUCACCAUCC